rnacentral:rRNA from 1 species
GAUGAACGCUGGCGGCGUGCCUAAUACAUGCAAGUCGUACGGAAAGGCCCUUCGGGGUACUCGAGUGGCGGACGGCUGAGUAACGCGUGGGAACGUGCCCCAAAGUGAGGGAUAACGCACCGAAAGGUGUGCUAAUACCGCAUAUGGUCUUCGGAUUAAAGCUUCGGCGCUUUGGGAGCGGCCCGCGUACGAUUAGAUAGUUGGUGAGGUAAUGGCUCACAAGUCGACGAUCGUUAGCUGGUCUGAGAGGAUGAGCAGCCAGACUGGGACUGAGACACGGCCCAGACUCCUACGGGAGGCAGCAGUAAGGAAUCUUCCACAAUGGGGGCAACCCUGAUGGAGCAACGCCGCGUGCAGGAUGAAGGUUUUCGGAUCGUAAACUGCUUUUAUAAGUGAAGAAUAUGACGGUAACUUAUGAAUAAGGAUCGGCUAACUACGUGCCAGCCGCCGCAGUAA